CCUUGCGCUUUUGGAGAGGCCGAUGCCUGAUUAGCUAGUUGGUGGGGUAAUGGCCUACCAAGGCGACGAUCAGUAGUUGGUUUGAGAGGACGACCAGCCACACUGGGACUGAGACACGGCCCAGACUCCUACGGGAGGCAGCAGUGGGGAAUUUUGGACAAUGGGCGAAAGCCUGAUCCAGCAAUGCCGCGUGAGUGAAGAAGGCCUUCGGGUUGUAAAGCUCUUUCAGUCGAGAAGAAAAGGUUGUGAUUAAUAAUCACAACUCAUGACGGUAUCGACAGAAGAAGCACCGGCUAACUACGUGCCAGCAGCCGCGGUAAUACGUAGGGUGCGAGCGUUAAUCGGGAUUACUGGGCGUAAAGGGUGCGCAGGCGGCUUUGUAAGUCAGAUGUGAGAUCCCCGGGCUUAACCUGGGA
rnacentral:rRNA from 1 species